AAUGAAGCCCUCUUUGUUUUUUGACUUCGGUUGUUGAGCCUUUCCUAAUUUUUUUUCUCCCGGUUUUGAACUCUGGAUCACAGUAGGGCCCCUUUAAUCUUUGAAACWAAAAGAAAACCCUGGGCAGCGGGGUGCGSCAACCCUGAGGGUUUCUKGUCCYMAUUUUAGUUUGCUCAAUGAACUUGAUCUUUCAGUACAAAAGCUGAAAUACUCCCAUAAGACGAGAAGACUCUGUGGAGCUUAAGUCACAGCACWACUACCACAUAGCGCCUCCCUUUAGUUGGGGCGACUGCGGAACAAAACACAACUUCCYUGCCACACAUUAAACCCCGCAACGACACACAUGUCACUGCACCCCACACCACGACCCCAGUACUACUGACUAACGAACCAAGUUACCCCAGGGAUAACAGCGCUAUCCUCUUCUAGAGCCCCUAUCGCCAAGAGGGUUUACGACCUCGAUGUUGGAUCAGGACCUCCUGGUGGUGCAGCCGCUACCAAGGGUUCUUUUGUUCAACGAUUAAGGUC
rnacentral:rRNA from 1 species